rnacentral:rRNA from 1 species
UACAGAGGGGGCAAGCGUUGUUCGGAAUUACUGGGCGUAAAGGGCUCGUAGGCGGCCAACUAAGUCCGACGUGAAAUCCCCAGGCUUAACCUGGGAACUGCGUCGGAUACUGGAUGGCUUGAAUUCGGGAGAGGGAUGCAGAAUUCCAGGUGUAGCGGUGAAAUGCGUAGAUAUCUGGAGGAAUACCGGUGGCGAAGGCGGCAUCCUGGACCGACAUUGACGCUGAGGAGCGAAAGCUAGGGGAGCAAACGGG